AUUGAACGCUGGCGGCAGGCCUAACACAUGCAAGUCGAGCAGAUGAAGGGAGCUUGCUCCUGGAUUCAGCGGCGGACGGGUGAGUAAUGCCUAGGAAUCUGCCUGGUAGUGGGGGAUAACGUCCGGAAACGGGCGCUAAUACUGCAUACGUCCUGAGGGAGAAAGUGGGGGAUCUUCGGACCUCACGCUAUCAGAUGAGCCUAGGUCGGAUUAGCUAGUUGGUGGGGUAAAGGCCUACCAAGGCGACGAUCCGUAACUGGUCUGAGAGGAUGAUCAGUCACACUGGAACUGAGACACGGUCCAGACUCCUACGGGAGGCAGCAGUGGGGAAUAUUGGACAAUGGGCGAAAGCCUGAUCCAGCCAUGCCGCGUGUGUGAAGAAGGUCUUCGGACUGUAAAGCACUUUAAGUUGGGAGGAAGGGCAGUAAGUUAAUACCUUGCUGUUUUGACGUUACCAACAGAAUAAGCACCGGCUAACUUCGUG
rnacentral:rRNA from 1 species